rnacentral:sRNA from 12 species
UGAGCGGUAUUGUAAAGCCUGGAUGACUCUGGUCACUCGUAGAGUGUCCUAGCUGUUCCUGAAAUGGAACGGGAACCGAAAGUAGACUGAAAUCCGAGCCCAGGGUGAGCCGCUCA